UACGGAAGGGGGCUAGCGUUGUUCGGAAUUACUGGGCGUAAAGCGCACGUAGGCGGAUAUUUAAGUCAGGGGUGAAAUCCCAGAGCUCAACUCUGGAACUGCCUUUGAUACUGGGUAUCUUAGUAUGGAAGAGGUAAGUGGAAUUCCGAGUGUAGAGGUGAAAUUCGUAGAUAUUCGGAGGAACACCAGUGGCGAAGGCGGCUUACUGGUCCAUUACUGACGCUGAG
rnacentral:rRNA from 1 species